rnacentral:snRNA from 1 species
CACCAAUAGGGAACGUGAGC